AUGGCAGGAACUUACCAGAGAUGGUUUGGUGCUCGAAAGAGAACCUGCACACAGGUGCUGCAUGGCUGUCGUCAGCUCGUGUCGUGAGAUGUUGGGUUAAGUCCCGCAACGAGCGCAACCCUUGCCAUUAGUUGCUACGAAAGGGCACUCUAAUGGGACUGCCGGUGACAAACCGGAGGAAGGUGGGGAUGACGUCAAGUCCUCAUGGCCCUUAUAGGUGGGGCUACACACGUCAUACAAUGGCUGGUACAAAGGGUCGCCAACCCGCGAGGGGGAGCCAAUCCCAUAAAGCCAGUCGUAGUCCGGAUCGCAGUCUGCAACUCGACUGCGUGAAGUCGGAAUCGCUAGUAAUCGUGGAUCAGAAUGUCACGGUGAAUACGUUCCCGGGUCUUGUACACACCGCCCGUCACACCAUGGGAGCGGGUCUCGCCAGAAGUAGGUAGCCUAACCGCAAGGAGGGCGCUUACCACGGCGGGGUUCGUGACUGGGGUGAAGUCGUAACAAGGUAAGCGUAGUGCU
rnacentral:rRNA from 1 species